rnacentral:lncRNA from 1 species
AAAAGACCACUAUCAUUAUAACGACAUUCCUAUCACAAAUAUUAAUGACCGAGCCUUCAUCACUUCAGUCCUUCACUCGAAUGCCCAUUGGUUCUCUCUCCGAACCUCCUCUUCUUCAUCGGGAGAGAAGUCAUUCUUGAUGUUGAAGGUCUUGCGGAUCUCCUCUGGAGUCUUCCCCUUGAUCAUGUCUGCAACAGUUUGGCAGGUCAAGUCCAGCAAACCCUUAAUGUUCAGGUAAUUGGCUGCCUGAAAUUACGCAAUGAAAACAGAACAUCAGCAACUACAGCAUUAUAAUUAUUACACAAUUAGCAAGAGAAGAUGCAGGCUAGUUCAAAGCACACAAAUGCACCACACAAAAACAUAUGUACAAAGAUAACCAUUGAAGUUACAGAUAAUGCAGCAAGUAAAUUAAGUUCUCAUUUUAUACGGUGAGCACAAUCAUUAUCCACAAUCCAACAGCACGACACUGAGACAAAGCAAAUGCAGAACAAGCACAAAAGCAUAACCCAAAACGUAUUAAACUAUUAGAUUAAUUUAUAGACCCAAAAACAUGCUUUUGUUCACUUUAGUUCCCCACUGUUUCUCAUCAACCAACCAGAGUCAUUACCAUCAUAAAUCUGAGACCAAACACCAAAAAAAUUCUAGAAAACACAUUAUCAUACAAAUCCUCCUCCAAAAAUCCUCCAAACACGGGGUUUCAAUAGAUAACAACUAACAACCAAAAAACCAUUAACAAAUACUCAAAACCAAAGCAACAAAGCAAGACUAAAACCAAAUCAAAAUUCUCUUUUUCUAAAAAAUAAAAACCCCAAUUCCAUAACCGGGGAGGAAAAAAAAGAGUGACUUUCUUUAAUAACAAAGAACCGUUAUCAAAUAUAAGACAUUUACGAGAAGCGAAAUCAAAAUCCUCUAUUUCGUAAAUAAAAUUCCAAUUUCAUAAAAAUACCAAAACCCUAACAAAAAUAAAAAUCAGAACUUCCUAGCAAUAUCAUCAAAUAGAACUAAAAAUCCAAACAAAUAGAAUGGGCAAGGCGUAAAUAGAGAGAGAGAGAGGGAGGAUAUACCAAGAUUAGGUCAAAGAGGGUAUUCUGAUCAACCUUGACGAAGUCUGCAUCCCAGGUCUUGAGAUCAUCCUCGGUCGACUUGUCGUCCUUCUUGUCCCCUGACCCAGCCUCAACGUGCUUCUUGCAGUACUCGAUAACCUUCGAGAGAAUCGUGCUCGUCACAUUCGGCAGCGGGAUUACGGUGUCGGCGCAGUCGUCCUCCAC